UUUAUGUAGAGCCCGCGUGGCCCUCCCUCUGCCGUCCUGGAGAAUUCAGAAUCCUGCGUCCUGCUGUGAAUGACUUCUUCAUGGUGCCCAUUAAUCCCUGAGAAAUGCUGGCACCUCGCCCACCUCCACCACACCCACUCCAACACUCUUAUCCAAACAGACACGAGUCCUUUCUUCUUAACAUACUAAAAAUAUUAAACUAGCCUUUUCUAAAAUUCUUUACAAAAGAGGACUUUUUCUCUACCAACUUCAGAAUUUUUUUAAUGUCCCAUAAAAUGGAUGUUGAAACUAAACAGAAUCCAGGUGAUGUCUUGCCACCACAUAGCCAAGAACUACAGAUCCCUUCAUUCUGCCCUUUCUAUUUUGUUACCUAAGAUUAACCAGAGGUUUAGUAGUUGCACUCUGCAGUUAAUUCUCUUCAUAACAGUGCAGUUACUAAGCCAUCCCACAGCCAGCAGAGCUGUUGCCCACAUGCAAGUGUUGGGACUUAGGCUUCUCUGUAUGGUUGGCUCUGCUGGUCUUGCUAGGUUCACCCCUCAUUCCAACUGUUGGAGGAUGUCUCUGAACCCUGAUUCUGUUACCGAUGUACCUUCCAAUUCGAAGUCAUGUGGAAAUUAGCUGAUCAUUCGAUCAAGGUCUAUUUUCAAGUUGUUAAUAAAAAUGCUUAAGAAGGAUGCAUUUCCUUUUACCCAAAUCAUGUUUCUCCUCUUUUUUUCUUCAUUUCUGUUAAUUGAGGACUUCCUCUUUACUUUUUGUUUGGUUUGGGUUUUACAUUCUUAUGCUGUCUAGUCAAGUACUGACAUUAUACCA
rnacentral:lncRNA from 1 species